GUCAAACUGUUGCAGCAAAUCACAAAUAUAUUUGUGCUGAUUAAGGAUCAUCCCACCAGGAACAGAUGACAUCUGUAUGCCUAAAAAGUAAUGUAAGGAACCUAGGUCCUUAAUUUUAAACUGAUCAUCCAGAAACAGCUUCAGAGCAGCAAUUUCAUCACAGUCAUCCCCAGUAAGAAUAAUAUCAUCAACAUAAACAGCCACAAUCACAAUGGACCCAGGUGUACCUUUGAUAAACAGGGAAUAAUCAUUCAAAGAAUGCCUAUAGCCUCUGGAGUAUAGGGCAGAAGACAACUUGGCAUACCAUUGUCUGGAAGCCUGUCUGAGCCCAUUAGGGAUUUGUUUAACUUGCAAACAAGGGGAGCAGGAGAGGCAAGUGGGGCAGAAACAGAGACAGGAGCAGAAACAGUUAAACUUGGAGGAAGUUUCAUAUACACCUCCUCAUCCAAAUCACCAUGCAAGAAAGCAUUAUUAACAUCAAGUUGAAAUAAAUUCCAAUGAUUUUUCACAGCAAGGCAGGGGGGGCAGAAACAGAGGCAGGAGCAGAAACAGUUAAACCUGGAGGAAGUUUCAUAUACAUCUCCUCAUCCAAAUCACCAUGCAAGAAAGCAUUAUUAACAUCAAGUUGAAAUAAAUUCCAAUGNNNNNNNNNNNNNNNNNNNNNNNNNNCAAAGAGGAGGAAGAUGAACCAGAGAAGGCAGGUAGUUGACAGACAUAAUCCUUAAGAUAGGAAGGAGGAUUAUGCUGUCUUUGAGACUUUCUGGGAGCAUGAAUAGAAGGAGAAGAAGCCAAAACAGGAGGUGAGAUGGCAGGAUUGAAAGAAUAAGGGAAGGCAGAAUCAUUGGGGACAGGGACUGGAUAAGGCACUUGCACAGAUGUGGGAGAAGAGGGAGGAGAGAGGUGUAUGGGAGAAUUAGAAUCAUCAUCAUGUUCUCCAGAAAGAACAAAGGGAAAAGAUGAAGCAGGAGGAUGAGUAGAAGGAGACACAGAUUUAAAAGGAAAACAUGAUUCAUGAAAGAUGACAUCCCUGGAGACCAAAUACUUCUUUGAAGCAAGAUCAUAUAAUCUAUAACCCUUUUUGCCAAAAGGAUAUCCCAGGAAAAAAAGAUGACAUCCCUGGAGACCAAAUACUUCUUUGAAGCAAGAUCAUAUAAUCUAUAACCCUUUUUCCAAAAGGAUAUCCUAGGAAAACGCAAGGAAUGGCUCUUGGCUUUAAUUUGUCCCUUUGAGGGAUGGGGACAGUGGUAUAAGCAAGGCAAUCAAAAGUCCUCAAGUGAGUAUAGGUUGGAACUUUCCCAUAUAAGAUUUCAUGAGGAGACUUAUUAUGAAGUAAGCUGGUGGGUAUUCUGUUAAGUAGAUAGGUAGCAGUCAACAAACGAUCCCCCCAGAAAGAUACAGGCAUGCCAGAUUGAAAAAGCAAAGCCCUACAGGUUUCAAGGAGNNNN
rnacentral:lncRNA from 1 species